AGUGAACGCUGGCGGUAGGCCUAACACAUGCAAGUCGAACGGCAGCACAGUAAGAGCUUGCUCUUACGGGUGGCGAGUGGCGGACGGGUGAGGAAUACAUCGGAAUCUACUUUUUCGUGGGGGAUAACGUAGGGAAACUUACGCUAAUACCGCAUACGACCUACGGGUGAAAGCAGGGGAUCUUCGCACCUUGUGCGACUGAAUGAGCCGAUGUUGGAUUAGCUAGUUGGCUGGGUAAAGGCCCACCAAGGCCACGAUCCGUAGCUGGUCUGAGAGGAUGAUCAGCGACACUGGAGCUUAGACACGGUCCAGACUCCUACGGGAGGCAGCAGUGGGGAAUAUUGGACAAUGGGCGCAAGCCUGAUCCAGCCAUACCGCGUGGGUGAAAGAGGCCUUCGGGUUGUAAAGCCCUUUUGUUGGGAAAGAAAAGCAGCAGGUUAAUACCCCGCUGUUCUGACGGUACCCAAAGAAUAAGCACCGGCUAACUUCGUG
rnacentral:rRNA from 1 species